UACAGAGGUGGCAAGCGUUGUUCGGAAUUACUGGGCGUAAAGGGCUCGUAGGCGGCCAACUAAGUCAGACGUGAAAUCCCUCGGCUUAACCGGGGAACUGCGUCUGAUACUGGAUGGCUUGAGUUCGGGAGAGGGAUGCGGAAUUCCAGGUGUAGCGGUGAAAUGCGUAGAUAUCUGGAGGAACACCGGUGGCGAAGGCGGCAUCCUGGACCGAUACUGACGCUGAGGAGCGAAAGCCAGGGGAGCAAACGGG
rnacentral:rRNA from 1 species